GACGAACGCUGGCGGCGUGCUUAACACAUGCAAGUCGUACGGUAAGGCCCUUUCGGGGGUACACGAGUGGCGAACGGGUGAGUAACACGUGAGUAACCUGCCCACAACUUUGGGAUAACGCUAGGAAACUGGUGCUAAUACUGGAUAUGUGCUCCUGCUGCAUGGUGGGGGUUGGAAAGCUCCGGCGGUUGUGGAUGGACUCGCGGCCUAUCAGCUUGUUGGUGGGGUAGUGGCCUACCAAGGCGGCGACGGGUAGCCGGCCUGAGAGGGUGACCGGCCACAUUGGGACUGAGAUACGGACCAGACUCCUACGGGGGGCAGCAGUGGGGAAUAUGGCACAAUGGGCGCAAGCCUGAUGCAGCAACGCCGCGUGCGGGAUGACGGCCUUCGGGUUGUAAACCGCUUUCAGCGGGGACGAAGCUUUUUGUGACGGUACCUGCAGAAGAAGCACCGGCUAACUACGUG
rnacentral:rRNA from 1 species